rnacentral:lncRNA from 1 species
AGAAAGAAAGAAAGAAAGAAAGAAAGGGAAGAAGACGGGAGAAGUUUGGGAAAGGAUAGAGGAUUGGCAGAGAAAGAGUAGGUUAGGGAAAGAAUAAAAAAGACAGACAGAAAGACAGGCAGAUGGGCAGGCUGACAGACAGAAACAGAGAAAUAACUUUGACACAGAUACAAGCAGAGGUUCUCAGGAAAGAUAGACGUACACACGCAUUCUAGCAGAGGCUCGGACACACCUACAUAUACGGACACACACACACACACAUAUUAACUGCUAAUGGGACACUUCUCAAGACAUCUAUCCAAGUAUAAACAUGUGUAUAACCAUGUAAAAGUAUAAACCGGCCCCACUCCAUCUCCUUCGUUAGCUGUCCGACUAUUGACCCGGCUAUCUGACUGACUCUCUACCCGGCUUGCCUAGCUGCUAUCAAGCUAGUCCUUCUGAGAUGGGACAGCAUCGCUUCCAGUACCUCCACAUGCAUCACCAUCUCAACCAUCGCUUUCAUCAUUAUCAUUAUCAUCAUUAUCAUCAUCAUCGUACGUAGAACACUGUCUUCGUUGAAACCACAGCCACCAACACCACUGGUUGCAAUCGUUCCUGGGUUACUUUUGGGGCAGCCCUACAUAACUAAGCUUGGAGCAAUAUUAAACCUCAUCAAAACCAAAGCUUCCAGACCAACUGCUGCUACAACUUCAGCUGCUGCUGCUGCUAAUACUACUACUACUACUACUUCUGUUGCUGCUGCUGCUACUACUGCUUUUACUAUUACUACCAUCAUCAUUGACUUCUUCUCAUUAUACCUCUUAUUUACUAUAUUAACAUAAUAAGGCAAAAUAUUAUUAUUAUUUUCACCUGUUUUUCAAAGAAAGAGAAAAAGGACGAUGAGAAAUCCUACAGAAGUUAACACAGUCUUUUCAUGAAGUGUAAUCAGAUUCAAACAACAGGAAAUAGUUGCCCAACAUCAGACAAUGCUCAACUCAAACCCUGGGCACCUACUAACCAGGUCCCUCUGGUCUGUUGUUGGUAAAUAUCAGUUGGACUGGUACAAUAGCAGAAAACCACUGUGAAAUAUCCUUCAAGGUGGUUUCUCGUCCAAAACAGCAAUUCUAAAAACAGAAAACAAGGAAUUUAACAACACAAACAAGAAACACAAAACAUUUAAAUGUAUUAAUAAAAAAGGACCUUGUUAAAAAAAAUAAUAAUAAUAGUAAAGACCAAAAUAAGGGAAAUAAUUCUUUUUUCUCUCCCUACUGUUUUAUCAACUGUUGAAGUCUUAAGCCAGCCCUUUCAAAAUGCCAAAUGGACGGAAGGGCAUAACAACUUUUCAGAAACUGGGAACUAUUAUGGGUCCAUGUCUCAUUAUAUUUGGCUUGCCCUUAUUGAUCCCUGGUAUUGCAAUAACUGUUGUCCCUUUCUAUGAUGAGACUGGGUUCCCAAAAUUUGGAGGCUUACACAUUUUUGGCUUUUUUAUCUUGUUCACAGCAAUCUUGCUCACUAUUUCAGGUUGUGCAUUCAGUUGCAUGCGCAGAGCAACAAUAUCACCUUUAGAACAGGUGCAACUAGUGUCCCCGUGGGGAACACCUCGACAUGGCUCUGUAUUGCAGCAGAAAGAAGAACUGAUGCCAUGCACUGGAGAAAUGUCAUAAAACUGAGCUUCAGAUCAAACUAUUACAGAUCCUGUAGACCUUAUACAACCUGCCUGCUAUAAGGGGGGCAUAAGGAACCCAUCUUUGUUAUUUAUUCAUUCCUUUGGUGUGUUUUUUUCUUUUCACAUAUUAAUUUUUUUUCAAUAAAUAAAAAUGAACAACAAUAAUUUCUUAAA